rnacentral:rRNA from 1 species
UACGUAGGGUGCGAGCGUUGUCCGGAAUUAUUGGGCGUAGAGAGCUCGUAGGCGGCCUGUCGCGUCGGAUGUGAAAGCCCGGGGCUUAACCCCGGGUCUGCAUUCGAUACGGGCAGGCUAGAGUGUGGUAGGGGAGAUCGGAAUUCCUGGUGUAGCGGUGGAAUGCGUAGAGAUCCGGAGGAAGACCGGUGGCGAAGGCGGCCUGCUGGGCAGAUACUGACACUGAGGCGCGACAGCGUGGGGAGCAAACAGG